rnacentral:rRNA from 1 species
GCCGGAGCUAACGNGUUAAGUGUUCCGCCUGGNGAGUACGGCCGCAAGGCUGAAACUCAAAGGAAUUGACGGGGGNCCGCACAAGCGGNGGAGCAUGUGGNUUANUUCGACGCAACGCGAAGAACCUUACCUGGGCUUGAACUGCUAUGGACCGGUAUAGAGAUAUGCCUUUCCGCAAGAACUGUAGCAGAGGUGCUGCAUGGNUGUCGUCAGCUCGUGUNGUGAGAUGUUGGNUUACGUCCCGCAACGAGCGNAAUCCUNACCCNUAGUUGCCAGCGCGUCAUGGUGGNAACUCUACGGNGACUGCC